GACCUAGGCUCCAUCUCCUCUUCAGAGUAAGGGGUUUAAGUAAGGUAACGGCAAGGGUUGUGUGAUGUGGAUCAACUAGCAAGGUUGGGAAGAAGGAAGUUGGAUGUUUGUUUGGGGUUUUGAUUUGAGACAAGAGCUCUGA